UACAGAGGGGGCAAGCGUUAUUCGGAAUCACUGGGCUUAAAGGGUGCGUAGGCGGCCAUGUAAGUGAGGUGUGAAAUCCCUCGGCUCAACCGAGGAACUGCGCUUCAUACUGCAUGGCUUGAGGGAGACAGGGGUAAGCGGAACUGAUGGUGGAGCGGUGAAAUGCGUUGAUAUCAUCAGGAACACCGGUGGCGAAAGCGGCUUACUGGGUCUCUUCUGACGCUGAGGUACGAAAGCUAGGGUAGCGAACGGG
rnacentral:rRNA from 1 species